rnacentral:rRNA from 1 species
UUGGAGGGCAAGUCUGGUGCCAGCAGCCGCGGUAAUUCCAGCUCCAAUAGCGUAUAUUAAAGUUGUUGCAGUUAAAAAGCUCGUAGUUGAAUUUCGGGAUCAAUAUGCCGGUCAUGCCUUGGUAUGCACUGGUAUCUUUGAUUUCUCCCUUCUGACGAACUUUGAUGCCAUUAAUUUGGUGUCAUAGGGAAUCAGGACUGUUACUUUGAAAAAAUUAGAGUGUUUAAAGCAAGCUCACGCUUGAAUACAUUAGCAUGGAAUAAUGAAAUAGGACGUUUGAUUCUAUUUUGUUGGUUUCUAGGAUCGACGUAAUGAUUAAUAGGGAUAGUCGGGGGCAUUAGUAUUCAAUUGUCAGAGGUGAAAUUCUUGGAUUUAUUGAAGACUAACUACUGCGAAAGCAUUUGCCAAGGAUGUUUUCAUUAAUCAAGAACGAAAGUUAGGGGAUCGAAGACGAUCAGAUACCGUCGUAGUCUUAACCAUAAAUUAUGCCGACUAGGGAUCGGAUGAUGUUAAUUUUUUAAUGACUCAUUCGGCGCCUUACGGGAAAC